UGUGAUGGCUCCGGUGAUGUUGGAGGCGGCAUGUGACUCCCAGGGCUACGUGGGUUCAAAAACAAUUUAAAUACAAAAACACAAGCAGGUUCCCCUCCUCUCCUUUGCCUUUGGUCUGGCUCUCCCCAUCGCUGGGUUCGGUGCCUGACUGAAUGGAAAACCCGUCGUCUUGCAGCCACUAACCUGUGAGCGCCGGGUACCUGGAGACCAGGCCCCUCUGCUGGGGGCCCCCAGGAGCGGUGCCCCAUCAUUUUGCAGCCCACUGACUCCCAGCCUGGUGUGAAAACUGAGGCCCGGAGAGGUGAUGUGAUUUGCCUAAAGUCAUGCAACUAGUGGCAGAGCCAGGCCUAGAAGCCAGGUGUCCUGGCUCUCAAGACAUUCCGCUGCCCGAGGAAUGGAACAGGGAUUUAGUGCAAGACGAAGAACAGUUGAUGGAAGAAAAGAAAAAGAAAAAA
rnacentral:sRNA from 1 species